GACGAACGCUGGCGGCGUGCCUAACACAUGCAAGUGGAGCGACGAACCAGGGCUUGCCCUGGGGCUAAGCCGCGAACGGGUGAGUAACACGUGGGUUACCUGCCUCGAUGACCGGGACAACCCGAGGAAACUCGGGCUAAUACCGGAUGUGCCCGCAAGGGGACAGGAAGCUUCGGCCUCCGCAUCGAGAUGGGCCCGCGGCCCAUUAGCUUGUUGGGGAGGUAACGGCUCACCAAGGAUGCGAUGGGUAGCUGGUCUGGGAGGACGAUGAGCCACACUGGGACGGAGAAGCGGCCCAGACUCCUCCGGGAGGCAGCAGGGGGGAGUCUUGCGCAAUGCGCGAAAGCGUGACUCAGCAACGCCGCGUGGGGGAAGAAGGCUUUCGGGUUGUAAACCCCUUUCAGUUGGGACGAAGCUUCGCCGAUGAAUAGUCGGUCGGAGUGACGGUACCUUCACAAGAAGCACCGGCUAACUACGUGCCAGCCGCCGCGGUAA
rnacentral:rRNA from 1 species